CAAUAGCGUAUAUUAAAGUUGUUGCGGUUAAAAGCUCGUAGUUGGAUUUCUGUUGAGGUCGGGCGGUGUACACCUCGUGUAUUAUUUGCUCCGGUCUCGGCAUCCUCUUGGGGAACGUUUCAGGACUUUAUUGGACUGGGCGAGAUUCAAGACUUUUACUUUGAGGAAAUUAGAGUGUUCACGGCAGGCAAGUGCUUUGAAUACAUUAGCAUGGAAUAAUAAUAUAGGACCUUCGUUCUAUUUGUUGGUUUCUAGAACUUAGGUAAUGAUUAAUAGGGACAAUUGGGGGCGAUUCGUAUUAACGCGUCAGAGGUGGAAUUCUUGGAUUGCGUUACGACGAACUACUGCGAAAGACAUUGUCCAAACGAAUAGUUUUCUAUUGUAUCAAGAACGAAAGUAAUGGGGAUCGAAGACGAUUAGAUACCAU
rnacentral:rRNA from 1 species